GCCUGGUUAGCUCAAUCGGUAGAGCGUGAGACUCUUAAUCUCAAGGUUGCGGGUAAGUGCUUUCAAAAAAAGAGAAAAAAAAAAUGCUAUAAAAUGCUUUCCGGCCUAAUGCUAACCCGAACUAAUAGGUUCGACCCCCGCAUUGGGCU